CAUGGCUCAGGACGAACGCUGGCGGCGUGCCUAACACAUGCUAAGUCGAACGAGGCCACUCCUUCGGGAGUGAGUCGAGUGGCGGACGGGUGAGUAACACGUGAGCAACCUACCCCUGUGCGGGGGACAACCCGAGGAAACUCGGGCUAAUACCGCAUGGACGGGCCUUCCUUGUGGAGGGCCUGGGAAAGAUGGCCUCUUUACAAUGCUGUCGCGCAGGGAGGGGCUCGCGGGCUAUCAGCUAGUUGGUGAGGUAACGGCUCACCAAGGCUACGACGGCUAGGGGGUCUGAGAGGACGACCCCCCACAUUGGAACUGAGACACGGUCCAGACUCCUACGGGAGGCAGCAGUGGGGAAUUUUGGGCAAUGGGCGCAAGCCUGACCCAGCGACGCCGCGUGUGGGAGGAAGCCUUUCGGGGUGUAAACCACUGUCAGGGGGGACGAAGUGUCGGGCCUCAACAGGGCCCCUGGCUUGACGG
rnacentral:rRNA from 1 species